rnacentral:rRNA from 1 species
GACGAACGCUGGCGGCGUGCUUAACACAUGCAAGUCGAACGGAAAGGCCCUAGCUUGCUGGAGUACUCGAGUGGCGAACGGGUGAGUAACACGUGGGUAAUCUGCCCUGCACUUUGGGAUAAGCUUGGGAAACUGGGUCUAAUACUGGAUAGGACCUUUCUCCGUAUGGGGGGGGGUGGAAAGUUUUUCGGUGUGGGAUGGGCCCGCGGCCUAUCAGCUUGUUGGUGGGGUGAUGGCCUACCAAGGCGACGACGGGUAGCCGGCCUGAGAGGGUGAUCGGCCACAUUGGGACUGAGAUACGGCCCAGACUCCUACGGGAGGCAGCAGUGGGGAAUAUUGCACAAUGGGCGGAAGCCUGAUGCAGCGACGCCGCGUGAGGGAUGACGGCCUUCGGGUUGUAAACCGCUUUCGGCAGGGACGAAGCGUAAGUGACGGUACCUGCAGAAGAAGCACCGGCUAACUACGUG